rnacentral:tRNA from 1 species
GGCUCGUUGGUCUAGGGGUAUGGUUCUCGCGUGGGGUGCGAGAGGUCCCGGGUUCAAAUCCCGGACGAGCCC